GGCUCGGUGGUGUAGUUGGUUAUCACGUCAGUCUAACAUUCCGUUAGCACACUGAAGGUCCCGAGUUCAAACCUCGGCUGAGUCA
rnacentral:tRNA from 1 species